AAAUACUUUGCUGCACUUUUAUUUCUUGUUACCUUUUAUCACCUUUAGAUUUCACCUUGCAAGUAAUCGUGAAGGGAUUGACAACCCCUUUAUCCCGUUGGGUGCAAGUUUGUUUGCUUUUGCGCAGGUUCAUUGCUGCCUCAUCUUGAUACUCAUACUAGAUUGAUACCUUGGUUAUCAAACUGAGGGAAAUACUUAUCUCUACUUUGCUGCAUCACCCUUUCCUCUUCAAGGGAAAAACCAACCCAAGCUCAAGAAGUAGCAAUCCUCCCC
rnacentral:lncRNA from 1 species